GCCAAGCCGGCUGGGUGCCAAUUAAUCACUCCAACACAAAACAAAGUCUGACCUUAGCGGGUGGGCUGGCUGAAGUGCAGAGAUCCAACCACUGCCACAUUCCGGCCUCUCUUUUUAUUAAGUCUGGCCGGGGGCGAGCACCGGUAGGUGACCCAAGGGUUAUUCCGUGCGCGUUGGUGGCAAUGGGCUGGUGAUCAAGCAGGUAUUUAUUUUCGGAUAAAUAAUCAACAUUUGACCUGAGUUCAGACGAGACUACCCGCCGAACUUAAGCAUAUCAAUAAGCGGAGGAAAAGAAACUAACUAGGAUUCCCUUAGUAACGGCGAGUGAAACGGGAUAAGCCCAACUUGAAAAUCUACAGGCUUUGUCUGUCGAAUUGUAGUCUAUAGAAGCAACCUCUGAGGCGGACCUGGAUUAAGUUCCCUGGAAGGGGACGUCAGAGAGGGUGAGAACCCCGUCAUCCUUGGUCUUAGCCUCUUCACGAGAUGCUUUCGCAGAGUCGGGUUGGUUGAGAAUCCAGCCCUAAUUGGGAGGUACAUCCCUUCUAAGGCUAAAUACCGGUAGGAGACCGAUAGCGAACAAGUACCGCGAGGGAAAGAUGAAAAGGCCUUUGAAAAGAGAGUUAAAAAGUGCUUGAAAUUGUUGAGGGGGAAGUGUAUUAGAGGCGUGGGUGCUUCUAGGCUGUAUGUAGGCUCUAACCGGCCUGCCCCUCAGUGCUAGAAGCUGGUCAGCAUGGUUUAGCUUAGCGGGAUAAAAGCAGAGGUUGUUACUUUGCCUAUGCCGCUUCGCUGAUCGAGGUCUAAGAGCGCUUUGCCCUUCGGGAGCUGCGUUCUCAUGAUGCUGGCGGAAGCC
rnacentral:rRNA from 1 species